GAAACUAUGCCUGAAGUAAAGGGCCACUUUGAUAGAGUGAACCAUGGGGGUUCGAAUCCCCUUAGUUUCU
rnacentral:tRNA from 1 species